rnacentral:rRNA from 1 species
GACAGAGGAUGCAAGCGUUAUCCGGAAUGAUUGGGCGUAAAGCGUCUGUAGGUGGCUUUUAAGUCUGCCGUCAAAUCCCAGGGCUUAACCCUGGACAGGCGGUGGAAACUACCAAGCUGGAGUACGGUAGGGGCAGAGGGAAUUUCCGGUGGAGCGGUGAAAUGCGUAGAGAUCGGAAAGAACACCAACGGCGAAAGGCACUCUGCUGGGCCGACACUGACACUGAGAGACGAAAGCUAGGGGAGCGAAUGGG